GACGAACGCUGGCGGCGUGCUUAACACAUGCAAGUCGAACGGAAAGGCCCUGCUUUUGUGGGGUGCUCGAGUGGCGAACGGGUGAGUAACACGUGAGUAACCUGCCCUUGACUUUGGGAUAACUUCAGGAAACUGGGGCUAAUACCGGAUAGGAGCUCCUGCUGCAUGGUGGGGGUUGGAAAGUUUCGGCGGUUGGGGAUGGACUCGCGGCUUAUCAGCUUGUUGGGGGGGUAGUGGCUUACCAAGGCUUGGACGGGUAGCCGGCCUGAGCGGGGGACGGGCACAGUUGGACCGGGAAUGAGCCCCGGCCCGCACGGGUAGGGGAGGGGGGAGAAGGUAACAGAGGGGGAGGAGCCCAAGUCCGGCACAGCCGGGGGGGGGGGGGGGAGUAGGGGUUUGGAACCCACUGCCCCUGGGGAGGGGGGGUGGGUGACGGUAAGGGCAAAAGAAGCCCCGGCUAACUCCGUG
rnacentral:rRNA from 1 species